GACAGAGGUGGCUAGCGUUGUUCGGUAUCACUGGGCUUAAAGCGUGUGUAGGCGGAAGCGUAAGCGCUGUGUGAAAUCCCUCGGCUCAACCGGGGCACGGCAUGGCGAACUGCGUUUCUUGAGGCAGGUAAGGGUGCGCGGAACUCUUGGUGGAGCGGUGGAAUGCGUAGAUAUCAAGAGGAACGCCGGUGGAGAAGUCGGCGCACUGGGCCUGACCUGACGCUGAGACACGAAAGCGUGGGGAGCGAACGGGAUUAGAUACCCCUGUA
rnacentral:rRNA from 1 species